AUACGGAGGAUCCGAGCGUUAUCCGGAUUUAUUGGGUUUAAAGGGUGCGCAGGCGGCCAUUUAAGUCAGCGGUUAAAUCGUGGGGCUCAACCCCAUUCUGCCGUUGAUACUGGGUGGCUUGAUUGCGGUCGAGGUUGGCGGAAUUCGUUGUGUAGCGGUGAAAUGCAUAGAUAUGACGAAGAACACCGAUUGCGUAGGCAGCUGACCAGACCGCAAAUGACGCUCAUGCACGAAAGUGCGGGGAUCGAACAGGAUUAGAUACCCUGGUAGUCCGCACAGUAAACGAUGAAUACUUGUUUUCGGCGAUAUAAUGUCGGAGGCAAAGCGAAAGCGAUAAGUAUUCCACCUGGGGAGUACGCCGGCAACAGUGAAACUCAAAUGAAUUGGCGGGG
rnacentral:rRNA from 1 species